rnacentral:rRNA from 1 species
CCUACGGGUGGCUGCAGUGAGGAAUAUUGGUCAAUGGGCGGGAGCCUGAACCAGCCAAGCCGCGUGAGGGAAGAAGGUACAGCGUAUCGUAAACCUCUUUUGUCAGGGAACAAAGGCGGGGACUAGUCGCCGAAUGAGGGGACCUGAAGAAAAAGCAUCGGCUAACACCGUGCCAGCAGCAGCGGUAAUACGGAGGAUGCGAGCGUUAUCCGGAUGUAUGGGGUUUAAAGGGUGCGCAGUGGGACUGUUAAGUCAACGGUAAAAGCCCGGGCCUAAACCCCGGCGAGCCGUUGAAACUGGGGGGCUAGAGUUGGAGAGAGGUAGGCGGAAUGCGCGGUGUAGCGGUGAAAUGCUUAGAUAUCGAGAAGAAUACUGAUUGCGAAGGC